rnacentral:lncRNA from 1 species
AUUUUGAUCUCUCUUGAAGUGAGUUGUUUUUCUUUGUUGCACUUUGCAACUGAUGGUUUAUUGCUGCACUUCUGGGGACGUGCAGUGCCUUGCUCUUUGGACUUUACAACAACACCUUCCCUGCAAAGGCUAGUUGAAAUGUGUUCUAUUUACUGACCUGGAAGGAUGAACAUAUUGUAUCACCUUUCCUUUGUCUCUUGUUUUCUCUUUUCUGAUAACAGUACUUCAGGUUGAUUUCUUACUAGAUCAUGUCAAAUGGGACGACAAAGGCCUUGCGGUUGCUAUAGCCCAAAAUGUUGAUACAGGAGCAGUCUUAAUGCAAAUGGUGUCCGGGCUAGCUUUUGGGCACCUCGACUAGUUCCACGUGAUACAUGUCAAUUAUGUUUAGCUUGUCUAGGAAUGAGUUUGUGGUUUAUUAAUACAUCAGAUAUAAUCAGGUGCAUUUUGUGUCAAUUAUGGUAUAUAUAUUGAUAACCGUGGUGUCCUGGCCAGCUUUCGCGCGCCUCGAGCCCUCAACUAGUUCCACGGAUACCUGACAAUUAUGUUUAGCUUGUUUGUGAAUGAAUUUGUAGUUUAUAAAUACAUCAGAUAUGUGUCCAUUAUGGUGGAUAUUUGUUUAAGGCUAGGGUAGUAAAAAUGAUAGUUGAGUUCCUUGUAUUUCAUUUUGAUCUCUCUUUAAGUCUUCAUAGAGGCCUAAUAAUUUGUUCAUUUUUGAGUUGCGUUUGGAUGCUAGUUGCCACAUCAUCACUAUCGGAUUACACAUUACCUAAGGAAUCUAAACCAAUAAUCAAAAUCAAAUUUUGACUUAUAUAUCUAGUCCAAUUGCUCAAUUUAGACUAUGAAAAUUCAAGAUUUCAUGGUUCAAGUUACUCCUAAUUUAUUUAUAAUAACGAGACGUGAUUUAGCUAGAACAUUAGACAGCACAUUCUUGUUUAGAGACUGUGACACGCUAUUAGAUAUCAACUAAGUUAGGUGUCUAUGAUGUGCACUGUGCCAGUAUUUUACACGUCUGGAAAAAAAAAGCUAGCGAAGUAGAAAAAGAUCGCAGGCUUUUCAUCUGUCAUUUUGAUCUCUCUUGAAGUGAGUUGUUUUUCUUUGUUGCACUUUGCAACUGAUGGUUUAUUGCUGCACUUCUGGGGACGUGCAGUGCCUUGCUCUUUGGACUUUACAACAACACCUUCCCUGCAAAGGCUAGUUGAAAUGUGUUCUAUUUACUGACCUGGAAGGAUGAACAUAUUGUAUCACCUUUCCUUUGUCUCUUGUUUUCUCUUUUCUGAUAACAGUACUUCAGGUUGAUUUCUUACUAGAUCAUGUCAAAUGGGACGACAAAGGCCUUGCGGUU